GUGAGGGAUAUUGGUCAAUGGGGGAAACCCUGAACCAGCAACGCCGCGUGAGGGAAGACGGUUUUCGGAUUGUAAACCUCUGUCCUCUGUGAAGAUAAUGACGGUAGCAGAGGAGGAAGCUCCGGCUAACUACGUGCCAGCAGCCGCGGUAAUACGUAGGGAGCAAGCGUUAUCCGGAUUUACUGGGUGUAAAGGGCGCGUAGGCGGGAUGGCAAGUCAGAUGUGAAAUCCAGGGGCUCAACCCCUGAACUGCAUUUGAAACUGUCGUUCUUGAGUACUGGAGAGGUUGACGGAAUUCCUAGUGUAGCGGUGAAAUGCUUAGAUAUCAUGAAGACGACCGAUCGCGAAGGCAGGUUUCCGGAGUGUAACUGACGCUGAGGCUCGAAAGUGCGGGUAUCAAACAGGAUUAGAAACCCCGGUAGUCC
rnacentral:rRNA from 1 species